rnacentral:rRNA from 1 species
GACGAACGCUGGCGGCGUGCUUAACACAUGCAAGUCGAACGGAAAGGCCUCUUUCGGGGGGUACUCGAGUGGCGAACGGGUGAGUAACACGUGAGUAACCUGCCCUUGACUUUGGGAUAACUUCAGGAAACUGGGGCUAAUACCGGAUAGGAGCUCCUGCUGCAUGGUGGGGGUUGGAAAGUUUCGGCGGUUGGGGAUGGACUCGCGGCUUAUCAGCUUGUUGGUGGGGUAGUGGCUUACCAAGGCUUUGACGGGUAGCCGGCCUGAGAGGGUGACCGGCAACAUUGGGACUGAGAUACGGCCCAGACUCCUACGGGAGGCAGCAGUGGGGAAUAUUGCACAAUGGGUGGGAGCCUGAUGCAGCAACGCCGUGGGCGGGAGGACGGCCUUCGGGUUGUAAACCGCUUUCGCUCAUGACGAAGCUUUGUGUGACGGUAGUGGGUAAAGAAGCACCGGCUAACUACGUG